rnacentral:rRNA from 1 species
GCAAGUCGAGCGAGAAGGUUAUGAAAGAUUCUUCGGCUGAUUGAUUAACUGGAAAUCGGCGGACGGGUGAGUAACGCGUGAGUAACCUGCCCCAUACACAGGGAUAGCCAUUGGAAACGAUGAUUAAUACCUGAUAGCACAUAGACAUCACAUGUUGUUUAUGUCAAAGAUUUAUCGGUAGGGGAUGGACUCGCGUCUGAUUAGCUAGUUGGUGAGGUAACGGCUUACCAAGGCGACGAUCAGUAGCCGACCUGAGAGGGUGGUC